AUGACAUGGCUUUGGCUCUUUGUCUACUAAAGCUGAAUAAAAUUUUCAAAAUGAAGAAAAGGGGAAAAAUGUAGGUAGAAUGGUUGCAAAAGACGAGUUGUUUAUUCCUUUGAAAAGACAAGUAAUGAUGAGACUUGGGAGAAUAUGGUUUUUGAAAGAGGCAUUACCUUUUUGUAAUUGAACAGCUACUUGCUUUGUUUCAGUGUGCUGCAUUAUCAAGUGUCACGAUUUAUUAUUGAUGUGCUUUGCCAUUUUUUUUUUUUUGGU
rnacentral:misc_RNA from 1 species